rnacentral:lncRNA from 1 species
AUUAGGAUUUUGAUGAAAACCACGUUUAAGCAUUCAAAUUAUUGUGGCAUUGUGUUUGUCACAAAGGCCAUAUUCCAUUGAUCUUCUUUGUUUAAUAUUUCCUUAUUUGUGGACAUUUUAAAAGCUGUGAGAAAACAUUAGUGAAAAAUAAACCUCACAUCCUCCCUCAUAUGUUUGUCCUCACAAGAAUUCCCUCCACUUAAGUUUUCACUCUUUUAGGCUUUUUCACAAGAUGAG